rnacentral:misc_RNA from 1 species
CGGUUGUUGCUUCCUCAGAGGAGCCACAAUGAUAUUGUUAUUGGUGUGUAUGACAACGAUCCUGCCAGCAUAGUAUCAUAUGCCCUUAGUUCCAAGGAAUACGAGGAUUGGGUUGCAGGCAAGUCCAAUGAGAAUGAAGGAAGCUGGAGUAUGAAUGAGCAUUGCAAGGAUGAUUUUGCAACUUCCACAUUUUCAGCCUGGCAGUCUUUUGGUUCCGCGGACUUGGAUUAUAUCCGUCACGGAAGUUAUGGGUCCGAAGAUCCUUCAACAUCCAUUGGUACACUGUUUAUGGAUUCCAAAAGGUCUCCGCAUUUAACAAUAACUUAUGCUGAUGAUUCCUCAACUGCUGGAGGCAAAGUAAAGUUUUCUGUCACUUGUUAUUUUGCUAAGCAGUUUGACUC